rnacentral:lncRNA from 1 species
CGUCAGGCAAAAUUUGUAGACGAACGAAUAUGUAAUUAUGAAGUUUACGUAAACAUAGAUCUUCAGUAUCUAUAUUUACGUAAACUUCAUAAUUACAAACAAAUAUUCAAUUAUAAUAUUUAUUCGCAAAAUAAUUGAAAACUUAAGUAAAUUAAAUUAAUCCAUUCAAUUAUUUAAACAACAAAAUAUGAAUUAAAGCCUAAUUAAGUCCAAAUACAUAACCUAGAAAAAAACCUUAAAAUUAAAUAUUGUCCUAAAAAACAUAAAUUUAAAACUACUGCUCCGCUGGUCCUCCAUUCCACUCCACGUCAUAACGCCACUGCUUGUAACCCCUCUUCAACGCUUCCUCCAUCAACUCUUCGUUCGUAUCAUCAAAGUAUAGUUGCACUGUUCCACAUAUAUGCAAAUAAUUAAUUACAACAUAUAACAAAAAAUUUUACAAAAUUAAUUAUUUUCAACAUCUGUCACACUUACUAAUAAUUGAUCCAUCACCGCCUUCUUCACAUCCUCGGGCACAUAUUUCCAACAACACCACUCAGCGGUAGGACAAUUGUUCCGCAUUGCUACACCAAUUGCAUGGGCAAACUCCACAUAUUGCAUCAUAUCAUAGGGCUCAAAGGCCAUGCUCUGCUGCCGGUUUCUUUCCUUCAUUCGAGCCCGAACCGAAUUGUGAAGAAUAAGGAGAACAGAAGUGCAUAUUUAUAGGAAGGUUAGGGACUUUGUGCGACGAAGCCUUCCUCCCGCAAACAUUUGCACUAAAUAUGGUAUUGAUUCCUCUUAUUCAUUGGCACUAAAUGCUCUGACUAAAAAAACUGAAUGGACUUUGGUGUCGCGCAAGGUUUCCAUGGGAAACAUUUCGUGAUUCCGCUGAUUCGCAUGCAUUGAAUGCUCUAACCCAAAAACUGAACGAACUUUGAGUGACGAAGCCUUUGUCAUGCAAAGUUUCAGUGGGAAAAACUUAUUCAGGCAUUUUUUUCCCCGCCAAAAGAAAAAUUACCCGCAAUUUUCUUAAUAACUUUGCGAGACGAGUAUCUUUUUUUUGUCAUGCAUACAGUAUUGUGCAACAAAGGUGUGCGUCGUGCAAAGUAGCACCAUUCUUGCGCGACAAAGUUGUUGUUUUGUUGCGCAAAACACACUUGCGUGACAAAUUUUGCUUUGUCACCCAAACAUCUGUCGCUCAAAUGGUUUUUUCUACAAGUGAAUUAAGCUUUAUUUAUUUUCGUAUAUUAUACUCCAUCAUCGGUUAAAUAUAUUUAAUCAAUUUAUGGUGUAGGCAUUCACAUAUGAUCACAUCUAUAAGUUUUCUUUUAACUAUUUUUUAGAAAAGUGGUUAUAUCUUAUAUUUAAAUCACGAAGUUUAAAAAAAAAAAAUUAAAAGUAGAAAAAUAGGACAAUGGACUAAAUCCAAUAACUACUCAAAUUUUUGGGCCUAGAUCAAAGUCCCCCAUAUUAGGAUUACCAUUAAGUACAAGAUGAAAUUAACAAUAAAACUAAAAUUUAUCAAUAAACCCACACUCAAUAAUCAAACCCUACCAUUACUUCAACCCCUACCAUCACGCAAUCUUUAUCCUACGUUCAAUCUAGCUAAAACCCUAGACACUCUCAUAGGGAAAAACAAGCUCUUUUUGACCGAUGGAUGAUGAUUUUGAAGUUUUGAAUCCUUCAACUAAGGUAUGAAUCGAUUUAUGCAAGUUUGUGUUCAUUUGAUUGCAACAUUUUUUAGAGUUUAGGAACAAAAUCAGCGCUUGUUCCAAACCAUAAUACUAGCAGAAACUUAUAUGGGAUUUAAAUUUUUAAUGUUUUUUAAUCAUCUAUAUGGAAUUAAGCAAAACUAGCAGAUGAAGGAUUAAUUAAAGGAUAAUGCAAGGGAGACCAAAAUUUUAAACCAAAUUUGCAAACCAAUUUUUAUUUUAUUUUUUGAAGAAAAACCAGAAACCUAGCAAGGGUGAAAGGCUGAUAAACGAUGUAGGAAGGAGAAAAAAAGUGGGGGAGAAGAGGAAAAUUAUGAGUCGUUAGAUGGAUCUAAUUAUAUAUGUUAGUUGAGAGGAAACUUAAUUUUUUAUCUAACUAUAUUAUCUACACUAAGGGUUGGGGGAGUAGGCUAAACCUCGCAAUGGGCAUAAGAAGAAGAAAAAAAAGUGGGGGGAAAGAGGAAAAUUUAUGAGUCGUUAGAUGAAUCUAAUAGUGUAUAUUAGUUAAGAGGAAACUUUUUUUUUUUUUUUUUAAAAAACUAUAUUGCCUACACUAAGGGGGUGGGAAAGUGGGGCUAAGCCUUAGAAUGAGUUAACAAUGAUGUAGUUCAAAUUUGCUUUUGGGGAGAAUAGAACCUAAGACCUUUCACUUACAAAUAAGAAAAAUACCACUAGACCGUAGUACUAAAUGGUGAAAGGAAACUUAUUUUAAGAACUUUAAAUAUAACUAUAUAUUAUAAAAUUCAUAUUAAAAUUUUACCGUGCGACGAGAUUUGAGUUAUUUACAGUAUCACUAAGCAUUGUGUGACAAAUUAAGCGCCAUACAAAUUUUCCUCCACCCCUACCGACAACCCAACGGGCAACCCAAGACCAAGCUAUCUGUCGUUUUGCCUGGGGUGAGUGCUUUUCUUCUGUUUUGGCAAAUAAGGGUUGUCCUUGAGGAUAUUUUGGCCCGGCAUGAAGCUAAAGGAGUAAGUUACCCCACGAAUCUCCUUUUCCUUUUUGUUGGCAGUGAAGGAAGGCCAUCC